rnacentral:lncRNA from 1 species
CAGAACUGCUCAUCACGCUUUGCAGUGGAAUUGUUGCUUGGCCUUGAGCUGUUAGCCUGGUUCAGAAGCUUCGGGUUGUGCUAUCCCAGAGGUGAACCAUGGUCUAAGUAACUGCGAGGAGAUACCAUGAACCCCUGAGUACAUGAUGAAGAAGCAAGAAGAGAAAGAAGCCAAUACAAGAAGCAUUAGUGAUCAGGCUACCUCUGGGCACAGGGUCACUCAAGUUUUGGUGUUAAUGAAUUCCACAAGAUGACCAAGCACUUCCAACUGCAAAAGAUACCUUUACAUGCUUGUCAGAGAAUGACCUCAUGACAUCAAUGGCAAAGAGAUCUUUUGAAAGGCAUCUUUUUCCUCCGGAUUAACUUCCAAAUUUUCCACCCCAUGUUUCUGUUUUGAGAAUGGAGAAUCUGACUUGUGUGUUUGUUAGCUCUUAAAACUUUUCCAUUACAGGAUGCCUCUGUGAGGCCUUUCUUGCCUCACAGAAAAGGAAAAUAAAA